GCUAUUGUGUUUUGUAGACUGCGGAUUCAUGUGCCAAAUCUGCCAUCCAAAUCGGCUCCCAUGCUCACUAUAAAAAUUUCUGUUAUGAUCUUGGUGUUGCAGCGAAUACUCGGUUGGCCAAUUCGUGGACAUCAUCUUGGAUAUCAUCCAAAAUGGUA